rnacentral:misc_RNA from 1 species
AAGGAUCAUUACCAAAUCCAAAAAAACCCUUUAUCAACACCCCUUUGUGCACCGAGAAUGGUUCCGUUCCCCUUCCCUUUUUUAGCCUCUCUGCGAGGCUGGCGCGGGGAGGGGGAAUGCAUUUUUUUGUAACACCUUUUCAACCCCAUCAACCCUUGUAUACAUGCUGAAAGCAAAAAAAUAAACGAAACAUGAGACAACUUUUAACGGUGGAUCUCUUGGCUCGU